rnacentral:rRNA from 1 species
AUUGAACGCUGGCGGCAUGCCUUACACAUGCAAGUCGAACGGCAGCGGACCUUCGGGUGCCGGCGAGUGGCGAACGGGUGAGUAAUAUAUCGGAACGUACCUUUCAGUGGGGGAUAACGUGGCGAAAGUUACGCUAAUACCGCAUAUUCUGUGAGCAGGAAAGCAGGGGAUCGCAAGACCUUGCGCUGAUUGAGCGGCCGAUAUCAGAUUAGCUAGUUGGUGAGGUAAAGGCUCACCAAGGCGACGAUCUGUAGCGGGUCUGAGAGGAUGAUCCGCCACACUGGAACUGAGACACGGUCCAGACUCCUACGGGAGGCAGCAGUGGGGAAUUUUGGACAAUGGGCGCAAGCCUGAUCCAGCCAUGCCGCGUGAGUGAAGAAGGCCU